rnacentral:rRNA from 1 species
AUGACGAUCUCAGCCGUGUUCUUCAUAUAUUGGUUUCUUGAUACAACAGGGAAGGCACCAUCUCUCAAGAGUCUUCGCCUCAUUUCUUGCUAUAAUUUUGAUGUUGAAGGACUUGAAGAGGCGAUAGUGAAGUUCCCUUUGCUUGAGGAGCUUGAGCUUUCUUUGUCUGCAAAUGUGGGUGAGAGUGGCGUGUUUGGGGUUGUUGGCAGGGCAUGCCCACAACUGAAGCGCUUCAGACUGAGUAAGGACGUGUUCUACGAUUUUGAAGCCAGUGGGUAUGACAAGGACGACGUAGCCUGGGGAUUGCAACUAUGCACGAGUUGCGGUCUUUGCAGCUGUUUGGCAAUUGCCUCACCAAUAAAGGACUGGCAGCUAUCCUGGACAAUUACCGCCACCUGGAGUCCCUUGACAUUCGUUAUUGCUUCAACAUUGACAUGGAUGGCGCGCUGCGCUCAAAGUGUGCAGGAGCCUAUCUGGGCGGAUUCAGGGUCCUUUUCGGCUGAUUAUACGGGAUCUGGUUCUGACUAUGAGCUUGACUCGGAAGAUUACGAUGACUACUGUGAUCCUUCCCGCUACCUUGAUGGUGUGUACGAGGACGAGCUUAAUGAAGAAGAUAGGAUGCUUCUCAGGGGUAUGCGCAUGCUAAUGAAGUGA